UUGCUGAUCAUCUUCCCUUCUCAGACAUGCAGUAUCACCCUAAAUAUGAAGUGCUGGGAUUUUGCUGCUUCAAAACAAUUCUUAUUAUUAAUUUGUCUUAUUUUGAUUCUUCAGUUAGAAGUGACAUUAUAAUCGCGGCUCCAGUUAAAGUCAACAUUCUAUUUUUUUUGCUGUUUUAGGCUCCAUACAAACAUGUACUGCUACAAGAAGAAAAAUUAACAUCCUGAAAAAGAAUGAAAACUAGGUCAGUUCAGUUUUGUAGAAGAAACAAGUGAAAGACCAGAGCAGAAAAUGCUGGAGAAACUCAAUAGGUCUGGCAGACUUGAUAAAGAGAAAAACAGAGUUAAUGUUUCGAGUCCAAUAAUCCUUCAUCAGAAAUGGAAAUAGCUGGGAAAGCUUGCCUCAUUAUCUAUGCACCUGCCUCUGUGCUACCACCAAUGCUUCACUCAUCAGUAGCAGUAGUCCUCCCCAUUGCCAAGACCUUCUGGGACUCCCUGUACCAAAUUUAAAAUGAAGUUGUCAAGAGCUGCCCUGCACAAUUCCUAUGCCUGAUGAAUCGCUCCAGAGAUGGCUGACAGAGGCAAGUUCGCUGCUUUGCCAAUAGGGACCAGAGGUCCUGUAGGAUAGAGUGACGCAGCCAAAGGCCGCCCUCUUUCAUCAGGACCAUCAGAGGAGACUACAGCACCAGCCUAGCUCUCAAUGCCAGCAAAACCAAGGAACUCAUUAUUAACUUUUGGCGGGAUGUUACUCAUGCCCCCC